GCCCCGCCCUCCACGCCGUGGUGAAUUGCAGUGUUCUGAGCAGGGGUUCUCCGCAGGGCUUUUCUAGCUGAGGUGUUGGCACCAGGGUUCUGCACCAGGAACUUGAACCUGACCUGGUAGAUGCAAGACCUCUGUAUGUGCCCCCCUAUAGGUGUUCUCAGCCAAGCAAGAACCUAAAAUGGUAGAGGAAAAACUACCAUUCUCCUAACACCUUCCAAAGAAUGUUUAUAUUUUAGAAGAUAUUAAUAACAUAAAGCACUGCUGCCCUUGCCAAAGGAUAAUGACCUCAUGAGUGGCAUGUGUGCAAAGAAGCUGACGAGGUGAUAACCCACUGGAGGGAAGUUGCAAGUCCUGAAGGAAAGAAGUGGUAAAAUAUACACACUGUAGAGUCUGAAUUCUCCCAUCACAGAGAGUGACUGGGAUGGUCCAGUUUCGAUGUUCCUGGAUAUAUAUUGAAGCAGAGCAGGAAAGCAGUUUAAGCAGCUGGAUUUCUGCUGCCUUUGGCCAAGGGGCUGGUAAGGAUGGGAUAUCAACCACCAGUGGAGCCAUGGAAAGAGAAGGACAGCAGAGGGAAGUUGAAGAAUUAGGGAAGACUGGUCAAAAAGGAAAGCAAGCUGAUACUGGACUAGCCAUUUUCAUCUUCCAUAAAACAGAAGAGGAGGCAAGAGGGGAGGAGCGCAAAAACCAGAAAAGACUCUUAGCAGACAUCCUGGAGUUGCCAGGAUGGAAUCAGUGUUGUUUCUGUGGAAAUACCUUAGUCUUGGUUCUCUGAAAAAUGGAGUCUUUGGAACUGGUGAAGUUAUUGUUGGGGUUUUUUUUUUCCUGAUGAGAAGCAUUUGUCUUUAAGGUUUGUUGGUUUUCAGGAAACAAAUAGUAAAGUAUAUACACCAUGGAGUCUGAAUUCUCCUUUCAGAGUGUGAAUGUGAUGGUCC